rnacentral:rRNA from 1 species
UACGAAGGGUGCAAACGUUGCUCGGAAUUAUUGGGCGUAAAGCGCACGUAGGCGGCUUUUCAAGUCGGAUGUGAAAUCCCUCGGCUUAACCAAGGAAGUGCAUCCGAAACUGGAGAGCUUGAGUACUUAAGAGGAUCGCGGAAUUCCCGGUGUAGAGGUGAAAUUCGUAGAUAUCGGGAGGAACACCAGUGGCGAAGGCGGCUGACUGGACAUGUAUUGACGCUGAGGUGCGAAAGCGUGGGGAGCAAACAGG